AAGAAGCCUGGCCAAGGCCCAAAGCCCAACCUGGGGUUACAUCUCUCUCUCCGUCUGUCACACUCCGUUUGUACCCUCUCGUUCUCCGUGAGCCUUCGCCUCCAAGCUAGGCGCCAAGCCCCGCCGUCCGACCACAGAUCCACAUCGGUAAAUCAUCUUCCCAUUGUCUCUUUCUCUCCGUCUCUCCCUCACUUUCUCUCUCUGCCUCUCUGUUUCACAUCUCUCGGCCGCCUUCGCCCGUUACACGCCAGGUUGCCGCCGUACUCCACCGCCAUAAAUAACUCCUCUCCCUUUCUCUUGGUCUCCCUCUCCGAUUUAAUAUUUGUUUACUCUUUUUCUCUCAAAUUCGUGCCUCUCUCUUUUUUUCUGUCUAUAUCCCCCUUUCUCGCUCAUCUCUCCGUUUUGUUUCGUAGCCCGUCGCUGCUACCGCCUAAGCCUUGCCACACCGUCGCUCACGAAGUCGAACGAAGCCACCGCCAAGCCGCUACUUGCCCUCCAUUCAAACCACUGUGAUCCAGCAAGCUUCACCGCAUGAAGCCACUGCUCACCACUCACCCCUUUCUGCCGUAGCCUACUUGGACUGAUUCAACCCAAGGCUUGGAAAUAUCUGUGGCUGACUGAUAUGGGAUGUUUGCUGGUGGGUAACUGUGAAAAUGGAGCUCUAUUGAAGUGGAGUGUAUUGGGCGUGGUUUUGUGGUCAAUUUGAUGUGAUGAAGGGGUAAAGUUUGUACGUGCAAGUUAAGUAACACGAUGAGCUCCUCUUCUGCUGCUUCUGCUCCAUCCACUUCUUCUCAACUUGCUUCAUCCAAAGACAAAUUUUUCUGGGGCUGCCUUUUCAUCGCAAUCGGCUCCAUCUUCUUUGUCGGUUUUCUCUUUGCAGCCGUUGUGUCCAAGCUCCUUCCCCCAUCCAAUAAUGCCCUGAUCUCCACCAUUCAAAACGACUGGUAUUACUGCUUCUUAGUGCCUCUGACUCUCCCUGUCCUUGUGGUUGCUGUAUAUUUUCAUUGGCUCAGUAUGAAAUUGUUCAAGCACGCAUGAUUUUUGCUUGAAGUCAUCAGGGAGUUCGACCUCUUCUGUGUAAGAUGCCCUGCUGUCUCUUUUGCAUGUAUGAGAGCUCCCAAACAUUUUAGCAGACGAAUCUUAUUUCUAGACUUUCUUUUCCUAGGCACAUUAACAUUGCAAAAGGAGGAUUUGAAGUUCGAUUCCUUGAAAAUAGAAGCAUAGAUAUCCUGAUUAUGAAGGCAUCCGAAAGAAAAAUUGCCAAGCAAUAGCUAGAUGACAUUACUUACAAGUGAUGUUCAACGUGUGAGUUUCAUGCUUGCAAAGGCAGAUGUAGAAAUUGUUUAUCUGUGGUUGGAGGCAGAUUUGAGCCGUAAUUCUUCUUGUAAAGUAGUCCAUUGGUCUAUGUUCAAACUUCCACUAGAAAGCCUUCCAUGAGUCAUGUACCGUUGGACCCGAUUGCUUGUCCAUAGAAUUUGCUCAACCAAGGAAGGCAAUGAGACUGAAUCAAGAGACUCAAAGAGAACACAGCAAUGAAGUAAAUUGGGGGAGAGCUGGUCAAGAAUAUACCAAAAUCAAUUCGGAAAUGCUGCGCUUUUUCUUUUCUUUUUUUUUGUGGUGUAGUGGUUGUUGGGUGGGUGGAAUUUUCCAAAAUGGAUUUGUAUAUCUAUAUUUUUUGGCAAGGGUUUAGAAGUUUCCGUAUUGAACAAAGUUGAAUGGUCCAGGCCUAACGUUAGUAAGCCAUUAACUAUGCUAGUCAUGAACAAUGUGUCAAAAGGCUGAUAGUUCCUAAGAUCUUGAGUUUCUUGGUAUUUCUAAAUGCCAAUUGUUUAAUGUAAGGGAAAAGCUUUAAUAAAAUUGCUACACAUAGCAGACCCAUGACACUUAA